GGGUUAGUAGGUUGGUCAUGCCCCUGGUGUGUACUAGUCUCACUGAUUCCUCCUUCCUGAUGAACCUUAAUGCCAUUAAUUUGGUGUUUUGGGGAAUUUGGACUGUGACUUUGAAAAAAUUAGAGUGUUUAAAGCAAGCUAACGCUUGAAUACAUUAGCAUGGAAUAAUGAAAUAGGACGUUCGAUCCUAUUUUGUUGGUUUCUAGGAUUGACGUA
rnacentral:rRNA from 1 species